UUGUUUAAGAUGGGCCAGGUUUGUGCCUGUGGGGUUGCUUUCUGCAACAUGACUGCCACAGCAGAAGUGCGUUCUCUGAACGUGGAGGUUUCCUGUACCCCACAGUACUUUCUUCAGACAUACCAUGUGAUUCCACAGUUCUAGCAGAAAGAGCUUUUGAAAAAGCCUUCCAUAAAGUGGCAUUUAUUGUUUAUCAACACUUCAUAGUAUAAUAUCACAUCUUCUUUUUCUGAUUGUUUUGAUUUCAAGAUAAUCCAUAGUAGAUAACAGAAAGCAGUUCAUUAGGUCAUAAUUUAAUUUGGCUUUUUAAAUUACCAACAAGUUGGUUGACAUUUGGUAAUGUCAACGCUAAUCUGUUCAACUUGUCUCUUUUUUUUUAUUAUUAUACCUAAGUACACUAUAACUGAUUUCAGACACACCAUAAGAGGGCAUCAGAUCUCAUUACAUUUGGUUGUUACUGGGAUUUGAACUCAGGACCUUUGGAAGAGCAGUCAGUGCUCUUACCUGCUGAGCCAUGUCGCCAGCCCCCUUGUCUUUAAAAUAUAUGUAUAAACAACCUUUAAAACCUAACAAUAGCCCCUAAUGUUAAUUAUAGAAAUUAACAUUCAAAUUAAACUUUGAUCUGUCAUUAUGCUCCUAAGAAACAAACUCUCAGAACUAAUUAAUGUAUAGAUUGGAAAGUUAAAUCACAAGCUGGCUCUGGGGUCAUGCGAGGGGGAGCUAGUCCCGCUCCUCAGUGGCUGCAGCAGUCAGGAGAGCAGACCCUUCCUCUCACCUGCGCGGGCAGCGCGAUGGAGAGCUAACAGAGCAGUGCUGGAGAGCUUGACCUGGUGGUGUGGGCGUGGGAGAGUGGGCAGGUUGACUAGCUCAUCAGCUGCCACCCAGGCCCAGAUCCAGAGCUUUCAGUUGGCUCACCUGAACAUCUUCCCCUGUAUGCAGUGCUGGAGUAGAUGAAGCAGCCAGUCCUGCAGAUCCAAAGGUGCAGGAUCUCCAUGACAUAGGGCAGCCACAGGGUAACAGAGGAGUCCUGGUGAUACUGUAAUGGAAACCAGAGGCCUUGAAGCAGACCAGUGACUCGUUGUAAUGAACAUUUGCAAGUGAAGCAGUCUGGACAAGAGGGUGCACUGUGACACGCUGUGAUACCCUGCAGUUUCCAGGGUAAUCCUUCCAAGAGAUCUUUUUUUUUUUCUUUUAUGGGAGAAGUUGCAAUGGUAGAGGGUGGGUACGAAGGGACAGGAAGAUGAGUGGGAUGGGUGUGCAUGAGGUGAGAGUCACAAACCAAUCAAAAGUUAAAGGAAAGUUUUAUUACAAAUUUCAGUAGUAAAAUAAUAGCGUUAGGGAAAAAAAAAAAAGCUGGCUCUGCUGAAUGGUACUUUGUAGAGGUUUUAAUUUCUGGAUUAUUACAUUUCCCAUGUAAGUUUUCCUUUUCCUGUUACUGUUACUCUCCUUUGAGACAGUUUGAAAUAGAUCAUAAAUUCUCAGGAGUUGUAAAUUGACGCUUUUGUGGCUUACUCCUAGGGGGACCUUUCCCAGAAGGAAAAGGAGUGCCACCUACUCAGAGAGCAGCUGAAGGUAGCAUGUGAGAACUGCGAGCAGAUAGAACUCAGGAGCUCACAAGAGAUCAAGGACCUGGAGGAAAAGCUGCAACGGCACACAGAGGAAAACAAGGUAAACCUCCCUGAGACUCGGUGAUGGCUGCGGUGAGUGGCAGUGUUUGUCAGCCUCAGUCAGCUGAGCUGCACCAGUGGCCACACAAGAACUCCUUCUCAGGAGCCUCUCUCACUUUUCCCUGCAGCACACCCAGUGGCAGUGCUCCUUGUAGUGAUGUAGAACCUUACCAACUGUUUUGAGAAAAGGACUAUAAAUCUGGGAUUUAAUUUAAUUGCCUUGUCUGUUUGACUGAAACUCUUCUGUGUUUAAUUCCAAGUUAAAUUCCUGUCUGCGUUGUGAGGCACUAUCAGAGGAGAGGUCACAAAUGUGAGCCUGCAGCCACUCGUGGUUCCGUCUAGAACUCUUCCGACAGAGCAGUUAGCUUACUUAAUAUCACUGAACUUAGUUUGCUUAUCUGGAAGACUUGGGGUAAAACUCUGUGGUAAAGAAUGAGGGUUAAUAAGUAAUUGACUCUGUUCCUAUCCCUCAUCUUCAUGAGGAAAUGUCAGAAUAACUCAUGGAGCCUGUGCUGUAUUCAAGUCUCUGGAGUAUCUGGUUUGAAUUCUAUUAGUUGAGACUGACCAUCAGUUAUUUAGUGAAGUGGUACCAGUUGGC
rnacentral:lncRNA from 1 species